rnacentral:tRNA from 1 species
GGGAGUAGAUGGGUGCUGGUGUGCCCUCCGGUCUUCAAAACCGGUAAUAGUGCUUAAUACCGCUUAGGUGGGUUCGAUUCCCACAUACUCCCGCCA